AUAUCGAUGAACGUUUUUGUUCCGUUUUGAUUUCUGAACAUCCAUUGCAGGCUGAGCUGAACAAGGAGAGGUUUAAGCAGUUGAAGGAGAACUUGAUCCCCGUCGUGGAGAAGCAAAGACCACGUCGUGUAAUAAAACGUGUUCAUUCUAUGGAAUGGUAAAUGUUUGGCAGCUGCUCCUAAUCUUUUUUCUUGUCAAUGGUGUGUCCAUUAUUGAAGCUAUGGGAAAUAACUGCAAGAACCAAGCUGAAACUGAAGUGGGGUAUGAGAGAUGAAAUCAAAAACCCAAAA